UACAGAGGUCUCAAGCGUUGUUCGGAUUCAUUGGGCGUAAAGGGUGCGUAGGUGGCGCCGUAAGUCGGGUGUGAAAUUUCGGAGCUUAACUCCGAAACUGCAUUCGAUACUGCGGUGCUUGAGGACUGGAGAGGAGACUGGAAUUCAUGGUGUAGCAGUGAAAUGCGUAGAGAUCAUGAGGAAGACCGGUGGCGAAGGCGGGUCUCUGGACAGUUCCUGACACUGAGGCACGAAGGCCAGGGGAGCAAACGGG
rnacentral:rRNA from 1 species